rnacentral:rRNA from 1 species
GACGAACGCUGGCGGCGUGCCUAAUACAUGCAAGUCGAACGCACAGUUUAUACCGUAGCUUGCUACACCAUAGACUGUGAGUUGCGAACGGGUGAGUAACGCGUAGGUAACCUGCCUGGUAGCGGGGGAUAACUAUUGGAAACGAUAGCUAAUACCGCAUAAUAUUGAUUAUUGCAUGAUAAUUGAUUGAAAGAUGCUAUUGCAUCACUACCAGAUGGACCUGCGUUGUAUUAGCUAGUAGGUGAGGUAACGGCUCACCUAGGCGACGAUACAUAGCCGACCUGAGAGGGUGAUCGGCCACACUGGGACGGAGACACGGCCCAGACUCCUACGGGAGGCAGCAGUAGGGAAUCUUCGGCAAUGGACGAAAGUCUGACCGAGCAACGCCGCGGGAGUGAAGAAGGGUGUCGGAUCGUAAAGCUCUGUUGUAAGAGAAGAACGGGUGUGAGAGUGGAAAGUUCACACUGUGACGGUAUCUUACCAGAAAGGGACGGCUAACUACGUG